rnacentral:rRNA from 1 species
UACGGAGGGUGCAAGCGUUAUCCGGAUUCACUGGGUUUAAAGGGUGCGUAGGUGGGUUGGUAAGUCAGUGGUGAAAUCUCCGUGCUUAACAUGGAAACUGCCAUUGAUACUACUGAUCUUGAAUUUUCAGGAGGUAAGCGGAAUAUGUCAUGUAGCGGUGAAAUGCUUAGAUAUGACAUAGAACACCAAUUGCGAAGGCAGCUUACUACAGGAAUAUUGACACUGAUGCACGAAAGCGUGGGGAGCAAACGGG